GUGUCAGCAGCCGCGGUAAAACGUAGGAGCCUAGCGUUAUCCGAAUUCACUGGGCGUAAAGCGCGUGCAGGCGGUUCGGUAAGUUGGAUGUGAAAUCUCCUGGCUCAACUGGGAGAGGACGUUCAAGACUGUCGGACUAGAGGACGGUAGAGGAAGGUAGAAUUCCCGGUGUAGUGGUGAAAUGCGUAGAUAUCGGGAGGAAUACCAGUGGCGAAGGCGGCCUUCUGGGCCGUUCCUGACGCUCAGACGCGAAAGCUAGGGGAGCAAACGGGAUUAGAAACCCCGGUAGUCCUAGCCGUAAACGAUGUAGACUUGGUGUCGGUGGGGUAAAAGCCAGCGGUGCCGAAGCAAACGCGAUAAGUCUACCGCCUGGGGACUACGGCCGCAAGGUUAAA
rnacentral:rRNA from 1 species